UUCAGAGCUGCCCUGCGACUGUGGCAUUCAGGGCACAUCCUGCUGGCAUAGUACCUGCCCUCAACCUCCUGCCAGUCCCCAGGCACACCUCCCUUCUCCUCUCUCUCCCUGUAGGCUCUUUCCAGCUGCUGCCACAACCACAGUGCUCAGGCAGCCUCAUCCUCUCCCUUUGCUCUCACCUGCCCUUUUGUGGGCUCCUGAGGAAGCUCCAUGUCAGCAGCAGCCAGUGGUAAGAAGCUGGAUCAUCUUUCUUCAUCUACUCACUGUCUUCCCAGAAUUUGAAAGUGUGACAAAGUAUUUCAUCCCUUUACAGGAUUAGGGAUGCGGAUUUGUCUCUGACUGAGGUGCUGCUGACUGGUUCACUGCCUGGUAGAUGGUGUCUCUUAAGACCUGAUUUAACCUGAAGCAUACACUUUCUCAGGAGGUCUGCA
rnacentral:lncRNA from 1 species